UACUAGAGUAGCACUCGCAUAUCAAUAAGCGGAGGAAAAGAAACUAACAAGGAUUCCCCUAGUAACGGCGAGUGAAGCGGGAAGAGCUCAAAUUUGAAAUCUUAAAGGGUUUCCCUUUACGAAUUGUAGUUUAAAGAAGUGUUUUCUGUUGAGGUUUUGGUAAAAGUUCUUUGGAAUAGGACAUCAUAGAGGGUGAGAAUCCCGUAUUUGACCUUUACUUUCAACUUUGUGAUACACUUUCAAUGAGUCGGAUUGUUUGGGAAUGCAGUCCAAAAUGGGUGGUAAAUUUCAUCUAAAGCUAAAUAUUGGCGAGAGACCGAUAGCGAACAAGUACCGUGAGGGAAAGAUGAAAAGAACUUUGAAAAGAGAGUUAAACAGUACGUGAAAUUGUCAAAAGGGAAGCGUUGACACCAGUGUUAUUUUUCUGAAAAUCAAUUAAAGAACUGUUUAUGCUAAGUUGUUUAGACUUUAUCAGCUAUCUGUUUAGUUUUGAGCUUUUCUUUAAUGCACUUUUCAGUUAACAAGUCAACAUCAAUUUCUUUUGCUGUAAAAAAGCUUGAGGAAGGGUGGCUUGAGAUUCGUCUUAAGUGUUUAUAGCCUCUUGCCUAUGCAGUCGGAGAGAUUGAGGUCUGCAGCGUAGAUCCUUCGGGGCUAAAUGCAUUUGUGCUAAGUUAUAGCAUUUUAUAGACAACUUGUUGACUAUGAUUUGUCUUGUAGCUUACUCGCUUAUGUUAUUUUACCUACGCUUAGGAUGUUGAGCGCAUGUCUCUCUC
rnacentral:rRNA from 1 species